UGAAUGUCCUAGGGGGUAUUGCACUUACCGAAGACUAUCAAACUCCGAAUGCCGUAUUCUUUUGCUUGGGAGUCAGACUAUGGGUGAUAAGAUUCAUAGUCAAGAGGGCAACAGCCCAGAUCGUCAGCUAAGGUCCCUAAAUGUAAGUUAAGUGGUAAAGGAUGUGGAAUUGCACAGACAACCAGGAUGUUGGCUUAGAAGCAGCCACUCAUUUAAAGAGUGCGUAAUAGCUCACUGGUCGAGUGAUUCUGCGCCGAAAAUUUCCGGGGCUAAAACUUACUACCGAAGCUACGGCAUCAUUAUGAUGGGUAGGGGAGCUUUCUAUGCGGCUUGAAGCAUGACCGUAAGGACAUGUGGACUGCAUAGAAGUGAGAAUGUUGGCAUGAGUAGCGAGAUGUGGGUGAGAAUCCCACAGGCCGUAAACCCAAGGUUUCCAGGGGAAGGUUCGUCCGCCCUGGGUUAGUCAGGACCUAAGCCGAGGCCGAAAGGCGUAGGUGAUGGACAACAGGUUGAUAUUCCUGUACCACCAAUAACCGUUUGAGAAAUGGGAUGACACAGUAGGAUAAGCUAACCGCACUGUUGGUUAUGUGCGGGCAAGUAUUGAGGCAGUUCCGAUAGGCAAAUCCGUCGGAAUAAUGCUGGGGUACGAUGCGGAGCGAAAUUUAGUAGCGAAGUAGCUGAUUUCACACUGUCGAGAAAAGUCUCUAUCGAGGUUAAAGGUGCCUGUACCGCAAACCGACACAGGUGGGUGAGGAGAGUAUCCUAAGGCCAGCGAGAGAACUGUUGUUAAGGAACUCGGCAAAAUGACCCCGUAACUUCGGGAGAAGGGGUGCCUUCGAAAGAAGGCCGCAGAGAAUAGGCCCAAGCGACUGUUUACCAAAAACAUAGGUUUCUGCUAAGUCGCAAGACGAUGUAUAGGAGCUGACGCCUGCCCGGUGCUGGAAGGUUAAGGGGAUCUGUUAGAGCAAUCGAAGCAGUGAACUUAAGCCCCAGUAAACGGCGGCCGUAACUAUAACGGUCCUAAGGUAGCGAAAUUCCUUGUCGGGUAAGUUCCGACCCGCACGAAAGGCGUAACGAUUUGGGCACUGUCUCAACAACAGACUCGGUGAAAUUGUAAUACCGGUGAAGAUGCCGGUUACCUGCGACAGGACGGAAAGACCCCAUGGAGCUUUACUGUAGCUUGACAUUGAGUCUCGGUGCUACAUGUACAGGAUAGGUGGGAGACUAUGAAGCAUGGACGUCAGUCUGUGUGGAGUCAUCCUUGGGAUACCACCCUUGUAGUACUGGGAUUCUAACCAGAGGCCAUGAAUCUGGUCUUGGGACACUGUCAGGUGGACAGUUUGACUGGGGCGGUCGCCUCCCAAAAAGUAACGGAGGCGCUCAAAGGUUCUCUCAGUACGGUCGGAAAUCGUACGAAGAGUGUAAAGGCAAAAGAGAGCUUGAUUGCAAGACAUACAGGUCGAGCAAGGACGAAAGUCGGACUUAGUGAUCCGGUGGUUCCGCAUGGAAGGGCCAUCGCUCAACGGAUAAAAGCUACCCUGGGGAUAACAGGCUGAUCUCCCCCAAGAGUCCACAUCGACGGGGAGGUUUGGCACCUCGAUGUCGGCUCAUCACAUCCUGGGGCUGUAGUAGGUCCCAAGGGUUGGGCUGUUCGCCCAUUAAAGUGGUACGCGAGCUGGGUUCAGAACGUCGUGAGACAGUUCGGUCCCUAUCCGUCGCAGGCGUAGGAAAUUUGAGGAGACCUGUCCUUAGUACGAGAGGACCGGGAUGGACGUACCGCUGGUGUACCAGUUGUUCUGCCAAGGGCAUGGCUGGGUAGCUAAGUACGGAAAGGAUAAGCGCUGAAAGCAUCUAAGCGCGAAGCCCACUUCAAGAUAAGAUUUCCCACCGCAAGGUUAAGAUCCCAGGAAGACUACCUGGUUGA
rnacentral:rRNA from 1 species